rnacentral:rRNA from 1 species
UACGUAGGGGGCAAGCGUUGUCCGGAAUUAUUGGGCGUAAAGCGCGUGUAGGCGGCCAGAAAAGUCCGCUGUGAAAACUCGAGGCUCAACUUCGAGCUGUCGGUGGAAACUUUCUGGCUAGAGUCCGGAAGAGGAGAGUGGAAUUCCUGGUGUAGCGGUGAAAUGCGCAGAUAUCAGGAAGAACACCCGUGGCGAAGGCGGCUCUCUGGGACGGUACUGACGCUGAGACGCGAAAGCGUGGGGAGCGAACAGG